AACGAACGUUGGCGGUGUGCCUAAUACAUGCAAGUCGAGCGAGAAAGCCGGGGCAACUCGGCGAGUACAGCGGCGGAAGGGUGCGUAAUACAUGGAUAACGUACCCUCCAGUUGGGGAUAACCCUCCGAAAGGUGGGCUAAUACCGAAUAAUGGCAGCGGGCGGCAUCGCUUGCUGCUUAAAGACGCAAGUCGCUGGAGGAGCGGUCCAUGGCCUAUCAGCUAGUUGGCGGGGAACGGCCCACCAAGGCGAUGACGGGUAGCCGGACUGAGAGGUUGAACGGCCACACUGGGACUGAGACACGGCCCAGACAUCUACGGAUGGCAGCAGUAGGAAUCUUGCGCAAUGGGCGAAAGCCUGACGCAGCGACACCGCGUGGGGAUGAAGGCC
rnacentral:rRNA from 1 species